AGGUUAUUAGUUUAAGGUAAAACAUUUGAUUUCGGCUCAAAAGUCGUGGUUAAAAUCCAUAAUAAUCUA
rnacentral:tRNA from 1 species